AUAUCCUCUGGUUACUGGGAAACUUCAGCAAACUAAGAAGACAAUGCCCUCCUCUUAAUUAUUUGGGAUGACAUAUUUACUUCCUAGUGGAAAAUGAAGCACAGAGAAGUUCAGUGAUGGACCUCAGAUACUACCAGCAGAAAGCAGAAGAGCUAGGAUUUCAACUUAGGAUGUCUGGAUCCACAGUCUGCACUCCUACCCACUAUGCUACACUGCCUCUAACUAUGAGGAAGCAAGGGCAUUUUUUUUUUUCUGGUGACUAAAAAGAUAAGAGUUCAAGUAUGUGGCUCCUGAUAAUCUAACUUAUACAGCCUGGAAAAAUUGAUAGUUACUAUAUCCAGACUGUCUCAUUCAAUUAACAGUUUCUCAAGUAAUCUUCUAGUUACUGUCGUAUUUUAUCUGUAUCAACUUAGCAAACCAAGUCC
rnacentral:lncRNA from 10 species